rnacentral:tRNA from 1 species
CGGUUUGUAGUUUAAUUGGCAAAACAUAGUUCUCAUGAAGCUACCAAUGUAGGUUCAACCCCUGCCAAACCGAGUUUUAGUGUUUGAUAGAUGGAGUCUAGCCAAGCCGGUAAGGCGCCCGUUUUUGGUACGGGGAUCGGAGGUUCGAGUCCUUCGACUCCAAAAGCUGAGGU